rnacentral:rRNA from 1 species
GAUGAACGCUGGCGGCGUGCCUAAUACAUGCAAGUCGAGCGAACAGACGAGGAGCUUGCUCCUCUGACGUUAGCGGCGGACGGGUGAGUAACACGUGGAUAACCUACCUAUAAGACUGGGAUAACUUCGGGAAACCGGAGUUAAUACCGGAUAAUAUAUUGAACCGCAUGGUUCAAUAGUGAAAGACGGUUUUGCUGUCACUUAUAGAUGGAUCCGCGCCGCAUUAGCUAGUUGGUAAGGUAACGGCUUACCAAGGCAACGAUGCGUAGCCGACCUGAGAGGGUGAUCGGCCACACUGGAACUGAGACACGGUCCAGACUCCUACGGGAGGCAGCAGUAGGGAAUCUUCCGCAAUGGGCGAAAGCCUGACGGAGCAACGCCGCGUGAGUGAUGAAGGUCUUCGGAUCGUAAAACUCUGUUAUUAGGGAAGAACAAAUGUGUAAGUAACUAUGCACGUCUUGACGGUACCUAAUCAGAAAGCCACGGCUAACUACGUG